CGCUACUUUUCUAACAUUGCAAAUGCUGUCGGAAAAAUUUUAGCUUUUGAGGUUACCUAUAAAACUAUACCUCGAAACAAAAACGAACCACCGAUCUGCAAGCAACGUGCCGGUAUUAGUGUGGAAGAUAUCUUUGCGUAGCUGAAAUGGCGCCAAUUCGCUUGGGGAGUGGAACGCCGCGAAACACAUCACCGGAGCCGACCGAAUCGAUAUUGUUUUGCGGUGAGGAGCCGCUACCUGGCACAAGUCUUCACAAUUUAACACUGACCUUGCCUUUACCGGUUCCGCUGUUAAAUUACCACUACUUCAAUACUGCAAAGACGCGUCUGACAAAUUUUUAUCAUUUUCGGAACAUUAUGGAGCAGCAACUGGUUCCACUUCACGUUUACAUUGGCUACGCUUUACGAACGUUUGCAAUUUGCAUGGCAGGAAGUGCUGCAGAUAUCGAUACGGUUACCGGAAAUUCAUCGGUAGACGUUUACGAUAAAUAUACAUGUUUGGAAAUUUAUGGUCAUUUUCAUUUUCGGCAAAUUCACCAGGUUUUAAAAAAUUAUUUCAAAUUUUAUGUCCAGUGUCAACACUGUAACCGUUGCGCGACUAUUAUCGUACGUAAAAGACGCCGUUUAUGUGUGUGCUGUUUUGC